UACGUAGGUGGCAAGCGUUGUCCGGAAUUAUUGGGCGUAAAGCGCGCGCAGGCGGUCCUUUAAGUCUGAUGUGAAAGCCCACGGCUCAACCGUGGAGGGUCAUUGGAAACUGGGGGACUUGAGUACAGAAGAGAAGAGUGGAAUUCCACGUGUAGCGGUGAAUGCGUAGAGAUGUGGAGGAACACCAGUGGCGAAGGCGACUCUUUGGUCUGUAACUGACGCUGAGGCGCGAAAGCGUGGGGAGCAAACAGG
rnacentral:rRNA from 1 species